rfam:Cucumis sativus cultivar 9930 chromosome 2, whole genome shotgun sequence.
UUUAUAUGCUGUGAUGAUAUCUGUGUAUCCCAGCUCAUUAUGAGAUCUUUUGUAGGUCGAGGAAUGAACUAUUUCCACAUUUAUCUGAGCACAGA